rnacentral:rRNA from 1 species
AAUAGAGGGGCUUGUAAAAGUCCUGAUAGAGCCUGGUCUAUGCUUUUACAAACGCUUUAGUCUAAGAAUGUUACUCGCGUUUAACGCAAUAAAUACAACUUUCAGCAACGGAUCUCUUGGCUCUCGCAUCGAUGAAGAACGCAGCGAAAUGCGAUAAGUAAUGUGAAUUGCAGAAUUCAGUGAAUCAUCGAAUCUUUGAACGCACCUUGCGCUCCUUGGUAUUCCGAGGAGCAUGCCUGUUUGAGUGUCAUGGUAUUCUCAACUCUUCAAAGCUUUUGCAAUGAACAGUUGGAUGUGGAGGUUGUGUCGGCUUGCAAAAGUUGACUCCUCUUAAAUGCAUUAGUGUGAACCUUUACGGAUCGCCAUCAGUGUGAUAAUGUCUACGCUGUGACGUUGAAGUAUCUUUGGUGUUCAUGCUUCUAAUAGCCUCUUCACGAGACAACUCUUGACAAUCUGACCUCAAAUCAGGUAGGACUACCCGCUGAACUUAAGCAUAUCAAUAAGCGGAGGAAAAGAAACUAACAAGGAUUCCCCUAGUAACUGCGAGUGAAGCGGGAAAAGCUCAAAUUUAAAAUCUGGCAGUCUUUGGCUGUCCGAGUUGUAAUCUGGAGAAGCGUUUUCCGCCGC